CUUCAGUGAACAUUCAACGCUGUCGGUGAGUUUGGAAUUCAAAUCAAAACCAUCGACCGUUGAUUGUACCCUAUGG
rnacentral:pre_miRNA from 1 species